rnacentral:misc_RNA from 1 species
AAAGUUUUUGCUUUCAUUUGCCAUAUAUUCUGCAUUUAACGUGAUGAUAUUCAUAGUUAAGGAGGUUGUUAUUGGUAAAAGCUAAAAAAUGUGUGAAGUUAUUGUAGAAACAUUUUUGUUUUUUUUAAUAUUAUGUUGUUCUCAUCAAUUUCUUCGAUAGUUCAGAACUAUAGAAGACAUUGGAGAUUGUUAGAUACAAGUUGAUCAUGUAGUUGAUAGGAGGCCUCUUCUUGUGAAGUGAAGAAUGCUGUGCCCUUAGUGGGAUGGCUAUUACCAUUAGAAGGUUGGCUUUGACUUUGGUCAUCAUGAAGGGACAAAUGUAACUGGAAGCCUUGCUAGCAAUUUAGCAAUAGCUAGUAACAAAGAACUUUAAACGCAUGCCUUCAGUGCCUUCUCAGAGAAUUCCCAAUUAGUCUUUGUUUGUUGAUCCACUGUUUAGAUUUUAAAGCUGCUGUACACUGGGGGGCUGGAGACUGCGGUGCAAUGACAAGGUGAUUCUUAUUUUGUUAUGGUAUUGAAUUGUGCAUAUCAUGAAAAUCAUUAACCUUUAACCAUACCAUUGAAGGAUCAUGGAGCUGUAGGGCCGUGCUGUGAAUUGGGCAUUAUUUAUUUAAUCAUUCAAGACAAAUCAUUAGGGAUCGGUUCAGAACAAUUACUUGAAUAGCACUCUAUAAAAGUUGCAUGCUGUUUCUUGAGUUUUGCUGUGAACUUGUCCUGGAAUUUCAAGUCGGGUGUCUCUCUCAUAUUACUGGCAUCAUUUGUCUAUUCAUUCAUGGUCUAUGUUUCAUUCCAUUGCCUUGAACUACGGAACCAAGUUUGCAAAGCAACCCCAAUGAUGCAAAUGUUUAGAGGCUGUAUGCAAAUUCACAAACGCCAUAUU